UGGUGGGGGAUUAUGUCCUGCCGUGUGAGCCGGAAACCCAGAAGAAGGGUUAUUAUGUGUUCCAGCCACUUGAGAAGGCAGUGUUUGGUAUUGCUGAGGUGCUGUCAUUUGAGAUGGAAACACAGAUGAUGGGUUAUGAGUUCCUGCCACUUGAGAGGGUGGUGUUUGGUAUUGCUGAGGUGCUGUCAUUUGAGAUGGAAACACAGAUGAUGGGUUAUGAGUUCCUGCCACUUGAGAGGGUGGUGUUUGGUAUUGCUGAGGUGCUACUUGAGAAGGUGGUGUUUGGUAUUGUGGUGGUGGGCGCUGUUGUGGAAAACCAUUAGUUGGGUUAUACGUUCCUGCCAUUUGAGAGGGAGACCUUGUCGGUGGUGGUGGACGUUGCUGGUAUGCAGGUCUUGGUCGG
rnacentral:lncRNA from 1 species